AAGACUAUACUUUCAGGGAUCAUUUUAAGAGUUUUGACUUGAGGAAUGUGUUUCUAAAGUGUUGGUCUCGAGACACGAGAGAGUCGUGAUAUUCCUUUCUAAGCGUGAAGUGACAGAGAGUAAUGAUUCAUUUCAUAUGCUCUCUGUCAUUGAUGACUGUUCUUGUUUUUAUGGAGCAUUGAGGAAGGGAAUAUGAUCAGAGUGGU